GGGAAACUUUUGCAAUGCGCGAAAGCGUGACAAAGCAAGCCAGAGUGCUUCUCUUAAUAGAGAAACUUUUAUCUGCUGUAAAAAGGCAGACGAAUAAGGACUGGGCAAGACCGGUGCCAGCCGCCGCGGUAAUACCGGCGGUCCAAGUCGCAGCCACAAUUAUUGGGUCUAAAAUAUCCGUAGCUUGUUUUGUAAGUCUCUUGUGAAAUCUUACAUCUUAAGUGUAAGGCGAGCAAGAGAGACUACAUUACUAGAGACCGGAAGACGUAAUGAGUACGACCAAGGUAGUGGUAAAAUACGUUAAUCUUGGUUGGACUAACAAAUGGCGAAGGCACGUUACGAGGACGGAUCUGACAGUGAGGGAUGAAGGCCAGGGGCGCAAAAUGGAUUAGAUACCCAUGUAGUCCUGGCAGUAAACACUGCACACUAAACAUCAGUGCCUCCUCGAGAGGCAUUGGUGCUGUAAGGAAGCUGAAGAGUGUGCUACCUGGGAAGUAUAGUCGCAAGGCCGAAACU
rnacentral:rRNA from 1 species